UACGGAAGGCAGCAGUGGGGAAUAUUGCACAAUGGGCGCAAGCCUGAUGCAGCCAUGCCGCGUGUAUGAAGAAGGCCUUCGGGUUGUAAAGUACUUUCAGCGGGGAGGAAGGCGAUGCGGUUAAUAACCGCGUCGAUUGACGUUACCCGCAGAAGAAGCACCGGCUAACUCCGUGCCAGCAGCCGCGGUAAUACGGAGGGUGCAAGCGUUAAUCGGAAUUACUGGGCGUAAAGCGCACGCAGGCGGUCUGUUAAGUCAGAUGUGAAAUCCCCGGGCUUAACCUGGGAACUGCAUUUUGAACUGGCAGGCUUGAGUCUUGUAGAGGGGGUAGAAUUCCAGGUGUAGCGGUGAAAUGCGUAGAGAUCUGGAGGAAUACCGGUGGCGAAGGCGGCCCCUGGGACAAGACUGACGCUCAGGUGCGAAAGCGUGGGGAGCAAACAGGAUUAGGAUACC
rnacentral:rRNA from 1 species